rnacentral:rRNA from 1 species
GAUGAACGCUAGCGGCAGGCCUAACACAUGCAAGUCGAGGGGUAGAACACUUCGGUGUUUGAGACCGGCGCACGGGUGCGUAACGCGUAUGCAAUCUACCUUAUACAGGGGAAUAGCCCAGAGAAAUUUGGAUUAAUGCCCCAUAGCAUUACGACUUGGCAUCAAGAUGUAAUUAAAGUUCCAACGGUAUAAGAUGAGCAUGCGUCCCAUUAGUUAGUUGGUAAGGUAACGGCUUACCAAGACAAUGAUGGGUAGGGGUCCUGAGGGGGAGAUCCCCCAGACGGGUACUGAGACACGGACCAGACUCCUACGGGAGGCAGCAGUGAGGAAUAUUGGUCAAUGGUCGCAAGACUGAACCAGCCAUGCCGCGUGCAGGAAGACGGUCCUAUGGAUUGUAAACUGCUUUUAUACAGGAAGAAACCCUCCCACGUGUGGGAGCUUGACGGUACUGUAGGAAUAAGGAUCGGCUAACUCCGUGCCAGCCGCCGCCGUAACAC